CGGCGUGCUUAACACAUGCAAGUCGAACGAUGAACCUCACUUGUGGGGGGAUUAGUGGCGAACGGGUGAGUAACACGUGAGUAACCUGCCCUUGACUCUGGGAUAAGCCUGGGAAACUGGGUCUAAUACCGGAUAUGACCUUCCAUCGCAUGGUGGUUGGUGGAAAGCUUUUGUGGUUUUGGAUGGACUCGCGGCCUAUCAGCUUGUUGGUGGGGUAAUGGCCUACCAAGGCGACGACGGGUAGCCGGCCUGAGAGGGUGACCGGCCACACUGGGACUGAGACACGGCCCAGACUCCUACGGGAGGCAGCAGUGGGGAAUAUUGCACAAUGGGCGCAAGCCUGAUGCAGCGACGCCGCGUGAGGGAUGACGGCCUUCGGGUUGUAAACCUCUUUCAGUAGGGAAGAAGCGAGAGUGACGGUACCUGCAGAAGAAGCGCCGGCUAACUACGUGCCAGCAGCCGCGGUAAUACGUAGGGCGCAAGCGUUAUCCGGAAUUAUUGGGCGUAAAGAGCUCGUAGGCGGUUUGUCGCGUCUGCCGUGAAAGUCCGGGGCUCAACUCCGGAUCUGCGGUGGGUACGGGCAGACUAGAGUGAUGUAGGGGAGACUGGAAUUCCUGGUGUAGCGGUGAAAUGCGCAGAUAUCAGGAGGAACACCGAUGGCGAAGGCAGGUCUCUGGGCAUUAACUGACGCUGAGGAGCGAAAGCAUGGGGAGCGAACAGGAUUAGAUACCCUGGUAGUCCAUGCCGUAAACGUUGGGCACUAGGUGUGGGGGACAUUCCACGUUUUCCGCGCCGUAGCUAACGCAUUAAGUGCCCCGCCGGGGAGU
rnacentral:rRNA from 1 species